AUUGAACGCUGGCGGCAUGCCUUACACAUGCAAGUCGAACGGUAACAGGUCUUCGGAUGCUGACGAGUGGCGAACGGGUGAGUAAUACAUCGGAACGUGCCUAGUAGUGGGGGAUAACUACUCGAAAGAGUGGCUAAUACCGCAUGAGAUCUACGGAUGAAAGCAGGGGAUCGCAAGACCUUGUGCUACUAGAGCGGCCGAUGGCAGAUUAGGUAGUUGGUGGGAUAAAAGCUUACCAAGCCGACGAUCUGUAGCUGGUCUGAGAGGACGAUCAGCCACACUGGGACUGAGACACGGCCCAGACUCCUACGGGAGGCAGCGGUGGGGAAUUUUGGACAAUGGGCGAAAGCCUGAUCCAGCAAUGCCGCGUGCAGGAUGAAGGCCUCCGGGUUGUAAACUGCUUUUGUACGGAACGAAAAGCCCCGGGUUAAUACCCUGGGGUCAUGACGGUACCGUAAGAAUAAGCACCGGCUAACUACGUGCCAGCAGCCGCCGUAA
rnacentral:rRNA from 1 species